AGCAAUUUUAGUAGAUUUCAUGCCGACUCUGUGUGCAAAGCCUCGAACCGACGUCCCUCAGUCUACCUGCCCACUAGGGAGUACCCGUCUGAACAGAUCAUCGUGACAGAGAAAACAAACAUUCUUUUGCGCUACCUACAUCAGCAAUGGGACAAAAAGAAUGCCGCCAAGAAGAGAGACCAGGAGCAAGUGGAGCUAGCGGGCGAGAGCUCGGCGCCGCCCCGCAAGGUCGCGCGGACCGACAGCCCGGACAUGCACGAGGACACUUAA
rnacentral:lncRNA from 1 species